CCCGCCACUGCACCUGAUUUCCAGUAUUAUGUUGGCUGGUGCAAUCCAGUGGUAAGCUGAGAGGAAAAACCCAGCUUAGGAAACAGGGUUAUUCUGCAUGUGGGUGACUCUGUGCCGAAAGCUUGGGAACAUGG
rnacentral:snoRNA from 1 species